rnacentral:rRNA from 1 species
CUUGUAGGUGGCCAACUAAGUCAGACGUGAAAUCCCUCGGCUUAACCGGGGAACUGCGUCUGAUACUGGAUGGCUAGAGUGUGGGAGAGGGAUGCGGAAUUCCAGGUGUAGCGGUGAAAUGCGUAGAUAUCUGGAGGAACACCGGUGGCGAAGGCGGCAUCCUGGACCAUUACUGACACUGAAAAGCGAAAGCCAGGGAGCAAACG